rnacentral:rRNA from 1 species
UCCGUAGGUGAACCUGCGGAAGGAUCAUUACCGAGUGCAGGCCUCGCCCCACAGGCAGGCCUAACCUCCCACCCGUGAAUACCUGACCAACGUUGCUUCGGCGGUGCGCGCCCCCUUCCCGGGGGGCGUAAGCCGCCGGGGACCACACCGAACUUCUUGUUUUUAGCGUGUCGUCUGAGCUUGAUACAAGCAAACCUAAUUAAAACUUUCAACAAUGGAUCUCUUGGUUCCGGCAUCGAUGAAGAACGCAGCGAACUGCGAUAAGUAAUGUGAAUUGCAGAAUUCAGUGAAUCAUCGAGUCUUUGAACGCACAUUGCGCCCCCUGGCAUUCCGGGGGGCAUGCCUGUCCGAGCGUCAUUGCUGCCCUUCAAGCCCGGCUUGUGUGUUGGGUCGUCGUCCCCCCCGGGGGACGGGCCCGAAAGGCAGCGGCGGCACCGCGUCCUGGUCCUCGAGCGUAUGGGGCUUUGUCACCCGCUCGUUUAGGGCCGGCCGGGCGCCAGCCGGCGUCUCCAAACCUUUUAUUUUACCAGGUUGACCUCGGAUCAGGUAGGGAUACCCGCUGAACUUAAGCAUAUCAAUAAGCGGAGGA